ACAUAAAGCAGUGAUUCAUACUCAGUAAUGCUCGUGGCUUAUGAUGAUAUAUGAUCAUACGCUGUCUCUUUUUAUCGAGGGCACUGACGCCUUUAUGGUUUUCGCUGCGUCGCUGAGACUCUUCUCUUUCUUAAAUUUAUCCCUCGUUCUUUUUUUUUCCUGUCUUUUCCUCCCCACUCGAAGACGCUUCAUUUGCUAGUAUGUCAACCACUUUCAGGCCACUCAAUGUGGAGAAAGGACAGAAGGAUUCCCACUGUGGCCAGAGAGGAGCCUCCGUCUAAAGUUGCUGUGAAGCAAUGGUGGUCCACAUCAAAUGCUCUCAUGGACGCAGACAUAGCCCAGCACCCGCAGAUUGCACAACUUAUGUCCACCGUCAGC